CAGCGAACGUCGGAGACCAUUUUGAGCAAGCGUGUUUCCUCUCUCCGGAUUUUAUCCUCUGCGACUCUCUCCUUAUCUAUGUAGGAGCAGCGUCGUUCUGGUGUGCUGCCGAGUGGGAGCAGUCGCUGUCGAGGGGAGAGGGAUAUUAGGAAUCGGGGGACGGUAGACCCACGCGGCAGGGGAAGGUCCGUGUCGGUGGCCGCUGGAAAGGAAGUGGUAGUGGCAGAGAGGUGGGACUCGAGGCUGGAUGGGUGGUACAGUUCGUCCAGGUCUAGGCGGUGCCGAGGGCGUCGGUGCGCGGCCGUCUGGUUAGUCCCCGUGCUGCACCAGAGAAGGGGGAGAAGUGGAGACAAACAAACCAAACUAACUACAACAAGCAAGAGAAAAUAAGUUAAACCGUCCGCGCGUCCACGUGCUGCACACCAAUAUGAGAAGGUGAGAGCACCGGUGGUAAGACGAAGGAGGGGAGGGGACCAAGUCGUCGUCGUCAUCACUGUGCGCUAAACCUCCCUUAUUCGACUCGUUAACGUCGGCAGGAGGAGCGGAUCCUCCUCCUCCUCGAGGUAGUGUAAUCGUCGUCGAGUCCGUCCUGUACUUCGGCACCGAGAAGUUGCAGUAGGGACCGGGGUGGCUGUUUGGGUCCUAGCGGCACCUGAUGUUCCACAUGGGCACGUUACGAACAAAGGAACUUAGUCUUCGAGCUACGUUCGUUUGACGUCACAAAUUGACUUACACAAAACUAUGGUAAGAGACAAAAUCGAUCCCUCUUGUCUGAUCACAAAAAACACGUGCGAUAAGGAAGCCUUGAACAUACAGACACUAGUUUAUUGAAAAUACUGUGUACUUCAUAUUGUCAGACAAGACAGAGUAAACUAGUUAAUUAGAUUUGUGACUACCAGCC
rnacentral:rRNA from 1 species